GACGAACGCUGGCGGCGUGCUUAACACAUGCAAGUCGAACGGAAAGGCCUGCUUUCCCUUGUGGAUUGCGGGUACUCGAGUGGCGAACGGGUGAGUAACACGUGAGUGAUCUGCCCCCAACUUGGGUAUAAGCCUGGGAAACUGGGUCUAAUUCCCGAUAGGACUGCAGGGUGGUGCCUGUGGUGGAAAACGAUUUUCUAGUGGUUGGGGAUGAGCUCGCGGCCUAUCAGCUUGUUGGUGGGGUAAUGGCCUACCAAGGCGGCGACGGGUAGCCGGCCUGAGAGGGUGGACGGCCACAUUGGGACUGAGAUACGGCCCAGACUCCUACGGGAGGCAGCAGUGGGGAAUAUUGCACAAUGGGCGGAAGCCUGAUGCAGCGACGCCGCGUGGGGGGUGACGGCCUUCGGGUGGUAAACUCCUUUCGACCGCGAGGAAGCCACCUGGUUGGAAGGGUGGUGACGGUAGUGGUAGAAGAAGCACCGGCUAACUACGUG
rnacentral:rRNA from 1 species